rnacentral:rRNA from 1 species
AACGAACGCUGGCGGCAUGCCUAACACAUGCAAGUCGAACGAGACCUUCGGGUCUAGUGGCGCACGGGUGCGUAACGCGUGGGAACCUGCCCUUAGGUUCGGAAUAACUCCCCGAAAGGGGUGCUAAUACCGGAUAAUGUCUUCGGACCAAAGAUUUAUCGACUUUGGAUGGGCCCGCGUUGGAUUAGCUAGUUGGUAGGGUAAAAGCCUACCAAGGCGACGAUCCAUAGCUGGUCUGAGAGGAUGAUCAGCCACACUGGGACUGAGACACGGCCCAGACUCCUACGGGAGGCAGCAGUGGGGAAUAUUGGACAAUGGGCGAAAGCCUGAUCCAGCAAUGCCGCGUGAGUGAUGAAGGCCUUAGGGUUGUAAAGCUCUUUUACCCGGGAUGAUAAUGACAGUACCGGGAGAAUAAGCGCCGGCUAACUCCGUG